CCCCGAACCCCCAGCCCCGGAUACGUACCCCAGGUCCUCCAGCGACUCCAGCACAUCGUUCUCCAGGAGCUCGAAUUCCAUCCUGCGGCGGGGCACGACGGGUGGACCUGCGCGACACGGGACUCAGCGCUACCGGCGCCGGCGCGGGCAGACCCGGAAGCAGGACUCCUCCCUCUCCGCCGCGCAGGAAUGUGCUGCGGCGAGCGGCGUCGCGGCAACGGGCGGGGCAGGGAGAGAGGACGGGGCGGCGGAAGGGUCAAACCACUCCAGGGAGCGAGAGUGCGUCCCCACCCUGCAGGACCCCUAGCCACGGCCAGGACCACAAAUCCCGGCAUGCCUUGCGCGCGGCACAGCCUUUCGCCGGGGGCGCCGGGUGCCGAAUAAAAUCAAUAAACAAUAAAAUUAACAAAUCGAA